UGUCAAACCAAGACAACGCCAGGAGGGAGUUAGGUUCAACAGCCUGUCAAACCAAGACAACGCCAGGAGGGAGUUAGGUUCAACAGCCUGUCAAACCAAGACAACGCCAGGAAGGAGUUAGGUUCAACAGCCUGUCAAACCAAGACAACGCCAGGAAGGAGUUAGGGUCAACAGCCUGUCAAACCAAGAUAACGCCAGGAGGGAGUUAGGUUCAACAGCCUGUCAAACCAAGACAACGCCAGGAGGGAGUUAGGUUCAACAGCCUGUCAAACCAAGACAACGCCAGGAGGGAGUUAGGUUCGACAGCCUGUCAAACCAAGACAACUCCAUGAGGGAGUUAGGUUCAACAGCCUGUCAAACCAAGACAACACCAGGAGGGAGUUAGGUUCAACAGCCUGUCAAACCAAGACAACACCAGGAGGGAGUUAGGUUCAACAGCCUGUCAAACCAAGACAACUCCAUGAGGGAGUUAGGUUCAACAGCCUGUCAAACCAAGCUCAGAGCCAGGAGGGAGUUAGGUUCAACAGCCUGUCAAACCAAGACAACGCCAUGAGGGAGUUAGGUUCAACAGCCUGUCAAACCAAGACAACGCCAGGAGGGAGUUAGGUUCAACAGCCUGUCAAACCAAGCUUAGAGCCAGGAGGGAGUUAGGUUCAACAGCCUGUCAAACCAAGACAACACCAGGAGGGAGUUAGGUUCAACAGCCUGUCAAACCAAGCUUAGAGCCAGGAGGGAGUUAGGUUCAACAGCCUGUCAAACCAAGACAACACCAGGAGGGAGUUAGGUUCAACAGCCUGUCAAACCAAGACAACGCCAGGAGGGAGUUAGGUUCAACAGCCUGUCAAACCAAGAUAACGCCAGGAGGGAGUUAGGUUCAACAGCCUGUCAAACCAAGACAACGCCAGGAGGGAGUUAGGUUCAACAGCCUGUCAAAACAAGAUAACGCCAGGAGGGAGUUAGGUUCAACAGCCUGUCAAACCAAGACAACACCAGGAGGGAGUUAGGUUCAACAGCCUGUCAAACCAAGACAACGCCAGGAGGGAGUUAGGUUCAACAGCCUGUC